GAUGAACGCUGGCGGCGUGCCUAAUGCAUGCAAGUCGAGCGAACGGACGAGAAGCUUGCUUCUCUGAUGUUAGCGGCGGACGGGUGAGUAACACGUGGAUAACCUACCUAUAAGACUGGGAUAACUUCGGGAAACCGGAGCUAAUACCGGAUGAUAUUUUGAACCGCAUGGUUCAAAAGUGAAAGACGGUCUUGCUGUCACUUAUAGAUGGAUCCGCGCUGCAUUAGCUAGUUGGUAAGGUAACGGCUUACCAAGGCAACGAUGCAUAGCCGACCUGAGAGGGUGAUCGGCCACACUGGAACGGAGACACGGUCCAGACUCCUACGGGAGGCAGCAGUAGGGAAUCUUCCGCAAUGGGCGAAAGCCUGACGGAGCAACGCCGCGUGAGUGAUGAAGGUCUUCGGAUCGUAAAACUCUGUUAUUAGGGAAGAACAUAUGUGUAAGUAACUGUGCACAUCUUGACGGUACCUAAUCAGAAAGCCACGGCUAACUACGUG
rnacentral:rRNA from 1 species